GGGCCAAGACUUUUCACAAAUUGAGCUAGAAGUUUCUCUACUUAUCCCAUAAAGACUAGUCAAUUAAACACAAGAGUUCACUCUUUUCCUACAGCUUUCUCAUACUCCCAAAUCAAACUUUACAACACUCACCCCCAUCCUAUGGCUAGACAAUAAUGUGCCUAAUCUAGCAAGAAUGAAGAUCAAGCAUUGUCGUUCCCGAUACUCUCAACAUUAUGUGCAUGUAAGACUUUCCGAAAAAGGCCUCACUCAUCAAUCAAUGAAGGCUUAAACAGAGGAAGGGAUUUUGGGGAGAGGUCUACCACUAGAGGUUGUCAAAAAGAUUGGCAUAAAGGAUGUGACAAC
rnacentral:lncRNA from 1 species